GGCGGCAUAGCCAAGUGGUAAGGCAGAGGUCUGCAAAACCUCGAUUCCCCGGUUCGAAUCCGGGUGCCGCCUCCA
rnacentral:tRNA from 1 species